rnacentral:rRNA from 1 species
AGGGCUAAAAACAGUGCACGUGUGAGCGGAUGACGGGAGCUUGCUCCCGGAAUCACGCGGCGGAGGGGUGAGUAAUGCCUAGGAAUCUGCCUGGUAGUGGGGGAUAACGUCCGGAAACGGGCGCUAAUACCGCAUACGUCCUGAGGGAGAAAGUGGGGGAUCUUCGGACCUCACGCUAUCAGAUGAGCCUAGGUCGGAUUAGCUAGUUGGUGGGGUAAAGGCCUACCAAGGCGACGAUCCGUAACUGGUCUGAGAGGAUGAUCAGUCACACUGGAACUGAGACACGGUCCAGACUCCUACGGGAGGCAGCAGUGGGGAAUAUUGGACAAUGGGCGAAAGCCUGAUCCAGCCAUGCCGCGUGUGUGAAGAAGGUCUUCGGAUUGUAAAGCACUUUAAGUUGGGAGGAAGGGCAGUAAGUUAAUACCUUGCUGUUUUGACGUUACCAACAGAAUAAGCACCGGCUAACUUCGUGCCAGCAGCCGCGGUAAUACGAAGGGUGCAAGCGUUAAUCGGAAUUACUGGGCGUAAAGCGCGCGUAGGUGGUUCAGCAAGUUGGAUGUGAAAUCCCCGGGCUCAACCUGGGAACUGCAUCCAAAACUACUGAGCUAGAGUACGGUAGAGGGUGGUGGAAUUUCCUGUGUAGCGGUGAAAUGCGUAGAUAUAGGAAGGAACACCAGUGGCGAAGGCGACCACCUGGACUGAUACUGACACUGAGGUGCGAAAGCGUGUGGAGCAAACAGGAUUAGAUACCCUGGUAGUCCACGCCGUAAACGAUGUCAACUAGCCUUUGGGAUCCUUGAGAUCUUAUUGGCGCACCUCACGCGAUAAGUCGACCGCCUGGUGAGUACGGCCGCAAGGUUAAAACUCACAUGAAUUGACUGCGGCCCGCACAAGCGAUGGAGCAUGUGGUUUAAUUCGAAGCAACGCGAAGAACCUUACCUGGCCUUGACAUGCUGAGAACUUUCCAGAGAUGAAUUGGUGCCUUCGGUAACUCAGACACAGGUACUGCAUGGCUGUCGUCAUCUCGUGUCCUGACAUCUUGGGUUAAGUCCGUUACUAACACAACCCUUUUCCUUACUUACCAGCACCUCGGGUGGGCACUCUGAGGAGACUGCCGGUUACCAACCGGAGCAACGGUGGGAAUAAGGUCAAGUCUUCU